GCCGGGCGCGGUGGCGGGCACCUGUAAUCCCAGCUACUCGGGAGGCUGAGGCAGGAUAAUUGCUUGAACCCGGGAGUUGGAGGUUGCAGUGAGCUGAGAUCACACCACUGCACUCUAGCCUGGGUGACAGAGCAAGACUCUGCGUCCA
rfam:Pan troglodytes isolate Yerkes chimp pedigree #C0471 (Clint) chromosome 9, whole genome shotgun sequence.